rnacentral:rRNA from 1 species
AGCUCCAAUAGCGUAUAUUAAAGUUGUUGCAGUUAAAAAGCUCGUAGUUGGAUCUGGGUGCUGGGUGUUGGCAGCUACAAUUGCUUAUAACAAGCAAGUACUGCCUAACUCGGCUCUUGCUAGCCGGUGCGUCUGCUGCUUGUGCUCUUCACUGAGUGCCUGCAGAGCCUGGCAUGUUUACUUUGAAAAAAUUAGAGUGCUCAAAGCAGGCGAUUGCGCCUGAAUAGUGUUGCAUGGAAUAAUGGAAGAGGACCUCGGUUCUACUUUGUUGGUUUAAUGUUUUCGGAACUAGAGGUAAUGAUUAAGAGGGGCGGACGGGGGCAUUCGUAUUUCGGUGUUAGAGGUGAAAUUCUUGGAUCGCUGAAAGACGGACAAAUGCGAAAGCAUUUGCCAAGCACGUCUCCA